ensembl:lncRNA
UACUCUGAAACAUUUUCUAAAGUAACUCAAUUUUACGAGAUCAAAAUGAACUUGAAGUUCAUUUUAUAGCUAUGGAGAAUAUGUAUUUCUAAUUUCUACUUGAUGGUUUUAUUUUUCCCUAUCAUAACUGAGAAUUUAAAUUUUGAGUCUGAAAAAUUAUACUAUACAAAUUUCCCUCAAAGCCAUUUGGUAUGAAGUAAUGCCCAUUAGAAGCAAGCUGAGCAUUUUGAAUAUAUAUUAUGCAUCUCUUAAGCAGACAGCUUUUUUCGGUAUCAUAAUUUGAAGAUCUCUAACUCCUGUGAUUAAUACGACUCCUCCCAAUCAGUAUCUCAAAUAAACGCAGACAGCCACAGUAAAACAAUUAUUUGAAGUUUUCAUUUGGUUUCUUUCCACCAAGAAACCAAACAUACAGUAAAAGUUACACGGUUUCUGCUGACAGACCCUCAGAUGGAUGGGCCUGUUACAGUCUAUCCAAACAGGAAGGUCAGGUCACUCAUUAAACCACCGUCAAUAAAAAUGGUGAGAUGGGUUUUGUCCCAAGAACUGAUGGCUGGAUAAUUUGACAAAAGGACAGAGAAGAGUUGUGAAAAACUGAAAGAUCAAUGGCUAUUAAUUUAAAGGCAACACAUAUCCGAGAAUGAAACAGUUUAGGUUGUUAUGUAGCAUAAUUACCAGUUUCAAUUAGCUGACAUUUCACAUAGCUUUGGGACCAUAGCAAGACAAUAACCCUCAGCAUCUAAUCUCAGCUCUGCCUUUUGUCAGUGAUCUCAGGAUAUUGCUUGAAAGGCAAACCCAAUACUUUGUGAGCAAUGGCUUUCUUUGUCAUAAAUAGCAAAAGUGCUGAGAGUUCAAAGGAAGUUCAAGUGAUAUACACAUUUAUACAAAAUAUCUCAUGUUAAUACUUCCCUGAGUGAUUAUUUUUUUCCUGACCAUUUCACUAAGAAGUAUGUGCUUUUAAUGCAAUAGGGCAGUAAUUUUAUUGUAUUAUGAUGAGACUAUAAAAAAUAGAAAGGAAGUAGAAAUUCCAAUAUGCAGAUUUCUAUUCCAUCAGUAUGUAUAUAAUUUACAUAAUAGCUUUUUCCCCUGCUCUAUUGUAAAACUUAAAUAUUCACUUCCUUUUAUCUAAUAUCAUGUUUGAAAUUUAAAAGUAUAAGAAAAUAUUGUUUGUAGUGCAAAAUAAAUCAGCCAUUUCCUAUCUGAAAUAAAAUUCUCUAAUUUGUUUAAGAGAACAUGUAACGGUAUCGGUAUGGGUCGUUUGCUGUGGAAAUCUCACUCAGCCAGAGCACCAGUCCAUUAAUCCAGAGACAAAGGUUUGAUUCUAGUCUGUUUUGUGGCCCAUAUGAUGGGCACUUGGUCCUCUACCUAAUACUAGACAUAAACCACAAAUUUGGAGAGAAACGGAAAGAAAAUGUAAAUACAGUCUUAACACCAUCAUUCCUGAAACCAAAACUCAAAGUAAAUAUCUUAUUUAUGGCCACUGGUCAGUAGCAUCAUGCCUGCAUUUGAAAGAUGUUGGGACACUAGUAAUAACUGAAAAUGGAAACUUGUGAAAAUAUCUUAAGGGUUUUGUGGUCUUAAGGUCCAGAUAACUAAAGAACCACAUUCCUUCGAAUCUAGAUGUGAAAUGCUAUUCUAUUCUACUUUGUAAAUUUUAGAAACAUCACAGGUGUCUAUUUUUGACAGUUUUUCUUAACUAGGCAAAUGGUCAAUGUUUUAGGUCAAUCUUUACGAUUGAUACUGCUAUUGCCUGAAUGUUUGUGUCUUUCUAAAAUUCAUAUUAGGAAACAUUAACCCUCAAAUUGAAAAUAUCAGAUGGUGGGGUCCUUGUGAGGUAAUUAGGUCAUAACUGUUGAUCCCUCAUGAAUGGAAUUAGGGCUUUUAUACAAGAUACCCUAAAGCACAACCUACCCCUUUCUGCCAUGUGAGGCCACAGUAAAAAGACAACUGUCCCUCACUAGAUACUGAAUAUACCAGCAUCUUGAACUUGGAGUUUCCAGUCUUCAGAAUGAUGAGAAAUAUUUCUUCUGUUUAUAAGCCACCAAGUUUAUAUUUUCUAGCAGCUUGAAAGAACUAAGGUAUCAAGUGAAAUUGUCUAAGAAUAAAGAGCCAGUCAUAAAUAAGGUGCUUUCCAAUUGCCUUGCUUUGUUAAUACAAAACUUCUCAAUUAUGCUAUUAUUUUAUAUGCUUCUUAAGAUUUUAAUUUCACACCCUUCCAAGCCAUGAUUAUAUUGUCAAUUAAGUAAGCUAUUAACAAAAUUGGAGGAUCCUCAGAUAUAACACUGCAAUACAAGUUACAAUUAAUUCUGACUUGAUAAUGUCUGAAAUGCUUCCACUAACAAGAGUUACCUUACUGUAGCCCAAGUCAUCUAUGCCAUUUUUAAAUCUCCUUUAUAUUCACUUACAAAAAACCCAACAAAGUAAAAUCAUGUAAAAAGUAAGAAUUAAAUGUGUGUUAAACCUUUAAUGUGUUGAAAAGUUUUAUUCCAUUGACCUUACUCUCAGCCUCUGAACAAGUUGCAUGAUUUGAGGUAACUGGCAAGAAGUACUUGAUCUUUUAUAUAAAAUCCCUAAGAAAUUCUGAGGGCCUUUUAUAAGGAGGAAGGGCCCCCAAACUUAUUGAGAAACAUUACGUGAACUAACUUACAUUUAACCUCCACAACAACCUCACUAUCUCGCUAUUUCCAACUGGGCCAGAGACAGAGUCAGUUUUGCUCAAAAUUAUAUUUUUAAGCAUCAAAAAAAAGUGCCUAAAAAGAGAACAGCCUUUCUGUAACAUUGUUGCAAAGGGAAGAGGAGGUAAAUAAAAGGAAUGCUGAAUUAAGUAUUACUAUACUCAAGGAUGCAAAAGCUGAAAUAAAUAAAGAAUAAUUUUCUCAAGAUUAUAGUGUGAGGAUGUAAUGGGCCUGGAAUUCAAAUUCUGGAGUUCCUUUUGUGGCUCAGAAGUUAACAAACCUGACUAGGCUCCAUGAGAAUGUAGAUUCGAUCCCUGGCCUUGCUCAGUGGGUUAAGGAUCCACUGUUGCUGUGAGCUGUGGUGUAGAAUGCAGUGUUGCUGUGGCUGUGGUUUAGGCCAGCAGCUCUAAGAGGGUCACAAGUACUUGGAAUCUAAGUCAGAAGAGAACGAUGAUUAUAUAGAUGUUACAUCACAAUACUUCAGGAGCUUUCAUUUUCUAUAGUAACAGAACCACCUGUUCUGGUGAGGUUGGAACAGGUGAGCCCUUAGUUCAGCCUCCAGCUCCACAUUUAGCAUCUCAUGGUAGAUUGAAUACAUAAAUGCCUGUGCUUCUUCACUCUGAUCUAACACAUAGACAUCCACACAUUUUCGCUAAUGUCAUUUUUUUUAGAUAAUCAAGUACUCAUAAAAUUCUUUUAACAUUUCAGCAAAAGAACUCAUUGACACCUGCAACUCCUUGAAAUCCCCCUGAUUACUCAGCAUUUUUAAAUAAAUAACUCUCUGCCAGUCAAUUAACUAGGAUUUCAUGUUCUGGCUGAAUAUAGUGUGCAUCCUUUACUGUCCAUGCAACCCAGGUCUCCAAGGUUCCAUCCCUGGCGUAUCUAUAAAUAGGGAGGGAUGAGUAACUGAGAACAACCUCAGUGUGUUCAUCUGGGACAUUCCUUUCUAUUCUGAUGCUUAGAAAAUGAUGAUCACUUCCACCUGCGUGCUAUUCCUCACAGGUGCACGUUACACCUUAAAGUUCAUCUCCAAGUUGGAUGACAAUUGCCUUCACUGCUUCUCUUUAGGAGAGUGAAGGGAAUCUGAUAUAUUCAAUGUUUAAAAAAUACCAUGGAAGAUCAUUAAUAAGUCUACAAAUAACAAAUGUUGGAGAGGGUGUGGAGAAAAUGGAACCCUCCAACACUGUUGGUGGGAAUGUAAACUGGUACAACCACUAUGGAAACAGUAUGGAAGUACCCCAGAAAACUAAAUAUAGAACUACCAUAUGAUCUAGCAAUCCCACUCCUGACAUAUAUCCAGACAAAACUUUCAUUCAAAAAGAUACAUGCACCCCUGUGUUCACUGCAGCGCUAUUCACAAUAGCCAAGACAGGGAAGCAAUCUAAAUGUCCAUCAAUAGAUGAAUGGAUUAAAAAGAUGUGGUACAUAUACACAAUGGAAUACUACUCAGCCAUUAAAAAGGAUAAAAUAAUGUCAUUUGCAGGAACAUGGAUCUAAGUAGAGAUUCUCAUACUAAGUGAAGUCAGAAAGAGAAAGACAAAUACCACAUGGUAUCACUUAUAUGUGGGUUCUAAAAUAUGGCACAAAUGAACCUAGGUAUAAAACAGAAACAGACUCACAGACAUAGAGAACAGUCUUGUGGUUGCCAAAGGGGAGUGGGAGGAUGUGGGAUGAACUGAGAGUUUGUGGUUAGUGGAUCCAAACUAUUGCAUUAUAAUAAGCAAUGAGGUCCUGAUGUAUAGGAUAGGGAACUAUAUCCAAACAUUUGUGAUGGAACAUGAAGAAGGAUCAUAUAAGAAAAAUAAUGUAUAUAUACAUGUAUGAUAGGGUCACUGUGCUGUAUAGCAGAAAUUGACAGAACAGUGUAAAUCAACUAUGAUAAAAAAUAAAA